rnacentral:lncRNA from 1 species
AGCCAUCAAGGCACCUUUUUUAUUGUCACACACAUUUAUAUUGUUUGUGACCUUAUGUACCCCAACAUCUACUUUGAAAUCUUAGCUAGCUCAGGGUCUGGAGAGGUAGCUCCGUGCUUAAAGAGUGUUUUUAGCUCUUCCAGAGGACUGUUUGGUUUCCAGCAUCCACGUUGCAGGGCUCAUAAUUACUUCUACCAACACCUCGAACGCACACAUGGGUAAAUUUCUUUUCUUUCCCAAACUUUAAUUUGCAUUUGCUAACAAAUCUUUUUUAUCCACUUUACAAAACUAUGGAACACUUCACGAAUUUGCGUGUCAUCCUUGUGCAAGGGCCAUGCUAAUCUUCUCUGUAUCGUCCCCGUUUUAGUAUAUAGGCUGCCAAAGCGAGCACGGAAAAAUAUUUUUAAAUAUCUCUUAAAUGUUUAAAAUGAGACGAGCCUUUGUGUAUCUUGUUCAUGCUAAAAAUAGCUAUGCCAGGCGUGGCAUAUGCCUACAAUCCAAGCACUUGGGAAAUUGAGGCAGGAGACAGAUUAAAGAGUUUGAAACCAGCCUAAGUUACAUAUAAUGAGUACUUGGCAAGCCAGGGCCAUAUAACAUGACCCUGCCUUAAUGAAACAAACAAAAAAUAAAUAAAAUAAUGAAAUGAGAAAGGAAAAGUGUUUACCAUUAUUUUUUACAAGUCUCCAAUUUUAUCACCUCAAUCCCCCAAAAUAAGCAAAUACAGGCCAGCAAAAUGGCUCACUUGGUGAAUAGAGGUGCUGCCACUAAGUCUGUUGAGUUUAGUCCUUGAGACCACAUGGCAGAAAGAAAACUGACUCUUAUGAUAUAUACAAGUACAGGGUAGUACAAGCUACUACACACAUACACAUAAUAAACAAAUGUAAUAAAGAAACCAUGUAGAAGACACUGGAAAAAUCAGUUUAUUAUAUAAAAUGAAACCUGAGAUGAUAAAAUAAACACAGUAACACUUGUGUUCUAGCCAUACUCUGGUAGUAAAUAAAAGACUAUUACAAACCUCUACCACGAGUACCCAUGGGUACCAUGAGUACCCAUAACCUGCAGCAAGUGAUGGUGCUGUAUGCCUUGUAGCUGAGCCGCAAACCUGAAAAACUUCUUGUUGCUGUUUUUAUAUGACAGUAAAGCUUUUUCACUGGUAUAGUACUGUGUGGUUAUUCAUAGUUCUUUCCCUUGUGGAAAUGGAGCACCUGAUUUGCCCUGGCCUUUUAUGAUUAUUUAUAUAAUGAGAGGGAUAAAGGAGUCUGGCAAGCACUGAGCAAAAAGCAGGCCUCACUCUCCAGCAACAACCAUUCGUGACCAGCACGCUCACUUUGCAUAAAGGUCCUAGAGAGGUGAGUGUUCCAGUGAGGUGGUGGAAUGGCCAGGACCCUGCACCUGCAUAAGCGUCACUUACCCUUCCUGGUGCACAGCACACCUGAGUUCUGAUUUAGGCUUGUACUUGUAUAAUACUUACUUUGCUGUAGAAAUCAGCACUGCACUGAAAUUGAUGACUUGAUUGGGAAUCAGAGCUCUCUGACUUGUUUUAUACUAUGAUAUUUACGUUUAUUUAUAUAUUGAGAUGGGGUCUCAACAUAGAGCUCUGGUUAGCCUGGAACACUCCAGCUACCUGUCUCUGCCUCCCAGAGUGCUAGAAUACUGAAACUGAAAGCAUGCACAACCAUGCCCAUCUCUACUAUAAAAUUUUAACUUUUUUUUUUUGACAGUCUUGUUGUUGUAACACAAGUUGGCCUAGCACUCAUGGACACCCCCCCCCCCUUUUUUUUAACACCUUGUUCUCUGCCCCC